UACGUAGGUGGCAAGCGUUGUCCGGAUUUACUGGGCGUAAAGAGCGCGCAGGCGGUCGUUCAAGUCGCGUGUGAAAGCCCCCGGCUCAACUGGGGAGGGUCACGCGAUACUGAUCGACUCGAAGGCAGGAGAGGGUAGUGGAAUUCCCGGUGUAGUGGUGAAAUGCGUAGAUAUCGGGAGGAACAUCAGUGGCGAAGGCGGCCUUCUGGUCCAGUACUGACACUCAAGUGCGAAAGCGUGGGGAGCAAACAGG
rnacentral:rRNA from 1 species